rnacentral:misc_RNA from 1 species
GGGUGCAGUUUCUUGGGGAAGAGGCCAUUGUCAAAGUCUAGAUCCAAAUAUUCAUGAUUUUAGUGUGUGCGAGGUAGACUUUUAGACACACUUGUUUAACCAGCAGGCAUGCAAGACACUGCAGCUUGUGCCCGGUAACAUCAUCACUUGUCUCUAGUAAACAGUCCGCUGAACAUCCAUACGUCAUUAUAAACCACUGAUCGAAUUUAUCAGAAAUAUAAAUUGAUCGCUUCCCCUGAUCUCGUCAGAUGGCGACGUAGCAAAAUAUGAUGACUGGUGUACGCAUUGCGGAAAUUUAUAACUCCCAAAAUGUAAGAACCUGACACUAGGCAGAUUGGACAACCACCAUACUUUUUUGUCCUUUUCCUCCACAGGAUGAUAGGCUUCUAUUUUCUCAAUUAUGGCUUAUGUUGUACUGUGGGUAUAUUAUUCGUGCUAUACUAUAUUUUUUAUGUGUAAACGUGCAAGAUUCCGUAGCAUAGAGGCGAGAGUUUUUCCUGUUUCGUAAUCCCAUAACGCUCCAUUUAUUAUGGGUAGAUUAGCUAUAUGUCUAUAUUUCCUCUUUUAUUAUUUGUAAAUGGAAGACCGUAGCACAGGAGCUUAGGGUUAGUGUUAGAAAGAUUAAGGAGACUAGAGGGCGUGUCAUGUUUUCAUCAAUCGUCUUUAAAUAAGGUUCUGAUGACAGAAAAUCUACUUUUUCGAGAUUAGGAAGAUCCGCCAUUUUGAAAUCGGAAACGGAAGUGAAGUCCUUGCUUGUAAGGUUUGUGACAAAUGGUGUCAGCAUAGGGCAAAGAGGCAACGCAUGAGACACUCAUCCAGUAAAUGAAGGUCCGUGAUUCUACCUGAGACAUCAUCAAAUCACCGUGAAAUUUUAACAUCGGCAGACCUGUAUACGUCCGUGGUACGAUCACAAACUAUUGGGAAACGAAAAAGACGAACGAUUUUGAAGCUAAUGAAGUUCGAAUAUGUCUAAAGUAUUAGCAAUGCCAUCCAAGAAGAAGACAAAGCGAGAAGAUUGGUAUGAAUGCAUGAUUUGCGGUCGCAUCGUCCAUAGAUUGGACAUUUCCAGUCACCAACAAAGCUGUAAAUCUGGACAGCCAAUCGUCCAUGGAUUUAUUAAGGAUGGAGUACUCCAUGCUACUGUCUCUUCCCAAGCUUUGUCAGAUGCAAUAGACUUGCCUACAUGCAAAGAGCAGCAUGUGCUUAUGCACCCUGCAUCCAUGCUGCUCUGUGAUCUUCAGAUUGGUCAGUUGUGUAUACUGAAUGAUUCACAUGUCUUGCGGGCAUGGCCAAAUACCAGUCUCCACCCUGUAAGUGUGGUUUUGCCAAAAACAUCAAUAUUGCAAGAAGAAAUACACUUUGAAGCUGGGAAUCUGGUCACUGUUCAGAUUUUCAAGGAUGCUGGAAGGAUAGCUGAAGAGGUUGAAAUUGAAAUAAGGACUUUGAAUGAUAUUUUCCUGAAAGAUGAAUUUCUGCAGUAUUUAAGCCUGAAAAUGGAAGGAAAGUACAUCAUGCAAGGCAGUGUUUAUACAGUGCAAUAUUUUGGAAUCUCAUGCUCUUACUGCAUCAAGAAAUUACAAGUUGAACUUCCAGUUACAUACCCUUUUGAAAUGAAACUGUCAGCACCAAAUGAAAGUGUUUUGUGUCAAGAUUUGUCAGCGCUUAAUAUUUCUGGGGUGUCUGAUCCUAAAGAUAUUUUGGACGUUUCAACAUCAUCCACACCAUUAAGAAUCUCAGAUUUUAAUUUAUCUGCAAGCAGUAUGUUAUCACCUAAACUUCAAACACCUGAGAAAUGUUUUGAAAGAGCUGAGUAUUUCCAAACACCAACUAUACAUCAGUCAGGAAAUAAAUCAGAAAUGGAUUUCAACAGAUUUGCUAAAGUGAAUGCUCAAACAAAAUUUGUGCUUUCACAUUUCAAAGGAUCCAUUUCAAAUUCUACCACCGAGAAAAAAAUAACAUUUGACUGCAUUGGUGGACUGGACAAACAGAUCAAAUCCAUUUCAGAAACUUUUCAAGUUUGUCCACAAAGAUCUGAUCUUCUGACACAUUAUGGUGAUCCCAGACCAAGAGGAAUUUUGCUCUUUGGGCCUCGUGGGACAGGAAAAACUAUGUUGGCAAAAGCGAUUGCCAAUGAAAUGUCAUUGUUUUCUAUUUACAUAUCUGGUUGUACUGAGCUCCUGAGCAAAUUUUAUGGAGAGACAGAGAAAAAGCUAAAAGACAUCUUUCAGUUAGCAGCAAAAAGAUCCCCUAGCUUGAUUAUUUUUGAUGAACUGGACAGACUGUGUCCUUCUCAAGCCAACACUCAUUCCGAUUUAGAAAAGCGUGUUGCGACCACUUUGCUCACCUUGCUUGAUGGACUUUCAGAUAAAGAGUCCAAAGUUGUGUGUUAUGUUCUUGGUAUAACCAGUAAACCUGACAGCAUUGAUCCUGCCUUACGUAGGGCUGGCCGCCUUGAUUAUGAAAUUGAAACUAGUGUGCCUUCUGCCGCAGAGAGACUGCUGAUAUUAAAAGCACACCUGCACGAUGUUCCACACAACAUAUCAGAAACUGAUCUAAAGGCCGUUUCAGAUGCAGCACAUGGUUUUGUAGGUGCCGACUUGACAGCUCUCUUAAAGAAGGCAAAACUAUGUGCUGUGAGACGUUUAAGUCAAAAGGAAGGAAUGAUGCAUGUUUUAACAUGUGAAGAUCUGCUGCUAGCUGCUAAGCAGAUUUCUCCCAGUGCCAUGAGAGAGGUGCAGCUUGAAGUUCCAGAGGUGAAAUGGGAAGAUAUUGGAGGACAAGCAGAAAUUAAAUUAAAACUGCAGCAGGCAGUUCAAUGGCCCUUGCAACAUCCUGAAUCAUUUACACGGCUUGGAAUCUCACCACCCCGUGGUGUGCUUCUGUAUGGACCUCCAGGAUGUUCUAAAACAAUGAUAGCUAAGGCAUUGGCCACUGAGAGUGGACUGAAUUUUCUGGCUGUCAAGGGUCCAGAACUCUUUACCAAAUGGGUUGGAGAAUCAGAAAGAGCUGUGCGAGAGGUUUUCCGCAAAGCUAGAGCUGCAGCCCCAUCCAUCAUAUUUUUUGAUGAGAUCGAUGUAUUAGCUGUUGAGAGAGGAAGGUGGUACCAGCAAUGUUGCCGACCGGGUGCUGACACAAUUACUGACAGAAAUUGAUGGCAUUGAAAGACUGCAAGGUGUCACCAUUGUAGCAGCUACCAAUCGUCCUGACAUGAUUGACAAGGCUUUUUUGAGGCCAGGACGCAUCGACAGAAUUCUGUAUGUGCCUUUGCCAGAUUUUUCCACAAGAAGAGAAAUCUUGCAGAUUUCAGUAAGGAAGAUGCCAUUAGCAGAAGAUGUGGUGCUGGAUGAUUUAGCAAAACAAA